UAGGGGGUGUAGCAAUACAUCACCGGCGGACGGGUGCGUAACACGUGGGAAUAUACCUUUCGGUACGGAACAACUGAGGGAAACUUCAGCUAAUACCGUAUACGUCCUAACGGAGAAAGAUUUAUCGCCGAAGGAUUAGCCCGCGCUCGAUUAGCUAGUUGGUGAGGUAAUGGCUCACCAAGGCUACGAUCGAUAGCUGUUCUGAGAGGAAGAUCAGCCACACUGGGACUGAGACACGGCCCAGACUCCUACGGGAGGCAGCAGUUGGGAAUCUUGGACAAUGGGGGAAACCCUGAUCCAGCCAUGCCGCGUGAGUGAUGAAGGCCUUCGGGUUGUAAAGCUCUUUUACCCGGGAAGAUAAUGACUGUACCGGGAGAAUAAGCUCCGGCUAACUUCGUG
rnacentral:rRNA from 1 species